AAAUUAAAGCUUUAUUUAAGCAUUUUAUUUACAUUAAAAAGAUUGUCAUAAUGAUAUAGUUUGA
rnacentral:tRNA from 1 species